rnacentral:lncRNA from 1 species
AUUAUGUAAUUAAUCAAAAUGUUAAUGUAUGUACAUGUUGGCAAUAAGUUAGUGUACACUGUAAAACACUGCUUUCUUUAUGUAUAUAGAUUUUUCCGAUAACAUCUUUCCAUGAGUAUAAUAUGACAUAGACCAUGUGUAAAUAUCUAAUUCGUUUCUAAUUUAUACCUUUCGUAUUUCUUGAUUCGGGAAAAAGUGUUUCUAAUAGUCUGAACUCAUUCGGUUGGAAUAAGACAAUUGAAUGAUAUUAUUAUCCACGAAGAAUCUUUUUAUGCAAGUAUUGUUGGUGACCAAUAUUCGCCACAUAACUCGUUCAUUUCCACUUACAUCCGACCUGCAUUAGAAUAUUUGGAACUUUUUAUGUAGGUUUCAGAAAUUUUACUAUCUGAAAAUAAUGUUUGAAAAAGAAUUAUCUUCAAAACAUUUGUUAGAUAUUCUAAAAUUAAACGCAAACUCAAGAGGAAAUCAAGUUGUUGUUUGUGUACCAUGGGGGACACAUUUUUGCCGAAAUGUAUGAUACGACUAUUCUUGUUAUCCUGGUAUAUUAUUAUAACGAAUGUACUGGGUAAAUGCACUCUAAUUUUACCGACAAAAUAGCAAAACGGCGAAAAUGUGUCCAUGGGGAAUAUGGACCACCCACUCAGCUA